GACGAACGCUGGCGGCGUGCUUAACACAUGCAAGUCGAACGGAAAGGCCCUGCUUUUGUGGGGUGCUCGAUUGGCGAACGGGUGAGUAACACGUGAGUAACCUGCCCUUGACUUUGGGAUAACUUCAGGAAACUGAGGCUAAUACCGUAUAGGAGCUCCUGCUGCAUGGUGAGGGUUGGAAAGUUUCGGCGGUUGGGGAUGGACUCGCGGCUUAUCAGCUUGUUGGUGGGGUAGUGGCUUACCAAGGCUUUGACGGGUAGCCGGCCUGAGAGGGUGACCGGCCACCUUGGGACUGAGAUACGGACCAGACUCCUACGGGAGGCAGCAGUGGGGAAUAUUGCACAAUGGGCGGAAGCCUGAUGCAGCAACGCCGCGUGCGGGAUGACGGCCUUCGGGUUGUAAACCGCUUUCGCCUGUGACGAAGCGUGAGUGACGGUAAUGGGUAAAGAAGCACCGGCUAACUACGUG
rnacentral:rRNA from 1 species